GAUGAACGCUGGCGGCGUGCCUAAUACAUGCAAGUCGAGCGAACGGACGAGAAGCUUGCUUUUCUGAUGUUAGCGGCGGACGGGUGCGUAACACGUGGAUAACCUACCUAUAAGACUGGGAUAACUUCGGGAAACCGGAGCUAAUACCGGAUAAUAUUUUGAACCGCAUGGUUCAAAAGUGAAAGACGGUCUUGCUGUCACUUAUAGAUGGAUCCGCGCUGCAUUAGCUAGUUGGUAAGGUAACGGCUUACCAAGGCAACGAUGCAUAGCCGACCUGAGAGGGUGAUCGCCCACCCUGUAACUGAGAAACAUCCCAGACUCCUGCGGGAGGCAGCAGUAGGGAAUCUUCCGCGAUGGGCGAGAGGCUAACGGAGCAACGCCGCGUGAGUGAUGAUGGUCUUCUGAUCGUAAAACGCUGUUAUUAGGAAAGAACAUAUGUGUAAGUAACUGUGCACAUCUUGACGGUACCGAAUCAGAAAGCCACGGCUAACUACGUG
rnacentral:rRNA from 1 species